CCGACGGGGUGCAGCAGGCGCGAAACCUUUACACUGCACGACAGUGCGAUAGGGGGAUCCCAAGUGCACAGGCAUAGCGCCUGUGCUUUUCGGCNCCCUAAGGCGGUACCAGAAUAAGGGCUGGGCAAGACCGGUGCCAGCCGCCGCGGUAAUACCGGCAGCCCAAGUGAUGGCCGAUCUUAUUGGGCCUAAAGCGUCCGUAGCUGGCCGCGCAAGUCCAUCGGGAAAUCCACCUGCUCAACAGGUGGGCGCCCGGUAGAAACUGCGUGGCUUGGGACCGGAAGGCGCGACGGGUACGUCCGGGGUAGGAGUGAAAUCCCGUAAUCCUGGACGGACCGCCGAUGGCGAAAGCACGUCGCGAGAACGGAUCCGACAGUGAGGGACGAAAGCCAGGGUCUCGAACCGGAUUAGAUACCCGGGUAGUCCUGGCCGUAAACAAUGUCUGCUAGGUGUGGCUCCCACUACGAGUGGCNG
rnacentral:rRNA from 1 species